CUUCUAUCCCGUCUCUAUGGUAGAGCCGGUUUCAGAGGCGGCAGUGGUGUUGGCGACUUCGGUGAAGAAAAGUGAGAGUUCCAACUUUGCUCUUGGCCCGGGAGGGUUUUGGCGCGGAGCGUUGUCAUGUCAGAGAAAAAGCAGCCAGUAGAUUUGGGUCUCUUGGAGGAGGACGACGAGUUCGAGGAGUUCCCUGCGGAAGACUGGGCUGGUUUGGAUGAGGAUGAAGAUGCACAUGUCUGGGAGGAUAAUUGGGAUGAUGACAAUGUAGAGGAUGACUUCUCCAAUCAGUUACGAGCUGAACUAGAGAAACAUGGUUAUAAGAUGGAGACUUCAUAGCAUCCAGAAGUAUUGAAGCAACCUAAACUUGAACUGUUUAUUAAAUUCUAGGAUGGAGAACCCAGGAUGGGACACUUAAAAAAGAAAUAUGUUUAUUUCAUUAGCAGCUUGGAUUUAUUUUUGUUUUUGUAACACACAAAA